rnacentral:rRNA from 1 species
GACGAACGCUGGCGGCGUGCCUAAUACAUGCAAGUCGAGCGAAGUUUUUCUGGUGCUUGCACCGGAAAAACUUAGCGGCGAACGGGUGAGUAACACGUAAAGAACCUGCCUCAUAGACUGGGACAACUAUUGGAAACGAUAGCUAAUACCGGAUAAUAGCAUUAACUGCAUGGUUGAUGUUUAAAAGUUGGUUUUGCUAACACUAUGAGAUGGCUUUGCGGUGCAUUAGCUAGUUGGUGGGGUAAAGGCCUACCAAGGCAACGAUGCAUAGCCGACCUGAGAGGGUGAUCGGCCACACUGGGACUGAGACACGGCCCAGACUCCUACGGGAGGCAGCAGUAGGGAAUCUUCCGCAAUGGGCGAAAGCCUGACGGAGCAACGCCGCGUGAGUGAAGAAGGAUUUCGGUUCGUAAAGCUCUGUUGUUAGGGAAGAAUGAUUGUGUAGUAACUAUACACAGUAGAGACGGUACCUAACCAGAAAGCCACGGCUAACUACGUG